GAUGAACGCUAGCUACAGGCUUAACACAUGCAAGUCGAGGGGAAACGACAUCGAAAGCUUGCUUCCGAUGGGCGUCGACCGGCGCACGGGUGAGUAACGCGUAUCCAACCUGCCCACCACUUGGGGAUAACCUUGCGAAGGUAAGACUAAUACCCAAUGAUAUCUCUAGAAGACAUCUGAAAGAGAUUAAAGAUUUAUCGGUGAUGGAUGGGGAUGCGUCUGAUUAGCUUGUUGGCGGGGUAACGGCCCACCAAGGCGACGAUCAGUAGGGGUUCUGAGAGGAAGGUCCCCCACAUUGGAACGGAGACACGGUCCAAACUCCUACGGGAGGCAGCAGUGAGGAAUAUUGGUCAAUGGACGAGAGUCUGAACCAGCCAAGUAGCGUGCAGGAAGACGGCCCUAUGGGUUGUAAACUGCUUUUAUAAGGGAAUAAAGUGAGUCUCGUGAGACUUUUUGCAUGUACCUUAUGAAUAAGGACCGGCUAAUUCCGUGCCAGCAGCCGCCGUAA
rnacentral:rRNA from 1 species